rnacentral:rRNA from 1 species
GACGAACGCUGGCGGCGUGCUUAACACAUGCGAGUCGAACGAUGAAGCCGGAGCUUGCUCUGGUGAAUUAGUGGCGAACGGGUAAGUAACACGUGAGUAACCUGCCCUUGACUCUGGGAUAACUGCGGGAAACUGUAGCUAAUACCGGAUACGACCCUCGGAGGCAUCUCCUGGGGGUGGAAAGAAUUUCGGUCAAGGAUGGACUCGCGGCCUAUCAGCUAGUUGGUGAGGUAAAGGCUCACCAAGGCGACGACGGGUAGCCGGCCUGAGAGGGUGACCGGCCACACUGGGAGUGAGACACGGCCCAGACUCCGACGGGAGGCAGCAGUGGGGAAUAUUGCACGAUGGGCGCAAGCCUGAUGCAGCAACGCCGCGUGAGGGAUGACGGCCUUCGGGUUGUAAACCUCUUUUAGCAGGGAAGAAGCGAAAGUGACGGUACCUGCAGAAGAAGGACCGGCCAACUACGUGCCAGCCGCCGCAGUAA